ACAUACAGCUACAAAAUGGAUUUUAAAAAGAUUCUAGAAACUUCUGCCCACCUGCUCACCCACUCCCACUCCCAAUGAUCACAUUACCCCCAUCUUUCAGAACUUCCACUGGCUUACCAUCCCCCAGCUAAUUCACUUCAAAAUCCUCCUUAUCCCCGACAAAUCUCUCCAUAACUUGGCUCCCCCUUACCUGAAUGAACCUCUCCACUGACACACUGCCACCUGUACUCUCUGCUCUGCUGAUGUUGGCCGCCUAUCUAUCAACCUUCCGGACCAAAUGCCGGACCUGAGGUGACAAGGCUUUCUCCAAUGCCACUCCCACCCUCUGGAGCUCACUCCCUAAAAGCAUCAGAGAAUGCUGCUUUGUGUUCCUACCUACUUUUUAAAUCAUCUAGUGUCUAGAAAAGCACUAUAUGAGUAGAAAGAUCUAAAGGAAUGGUGCUGGACAUCAUGCUUGGGAAAAGUACAUGGUUAAAGGAGAAGAGGGAGGUAAAGAAUCAGAUGGAUAGACGGUGUGACCAACAUUUGACCUUGUAUUUAAAUUGCAGUGGCUGCUUAUUACUUUAAUGUAGACCUUGUUCUUGCAUCACACACCCUAAAGAAAUAUGUGAUUGUUUAACUUCAGCCAAAAGCACUAAUUUGAUUUUCCUCAACUCUACACAAGUUGUAACUAAACAUCAAACUCUUCUGGGCUUUGUAUUCCCCAUCUGCCAGUGAAUGAGGAGUUUAACAGGACAAUGUUUACUGAGCAUCUAUGGCCUGGUAUGGAGAAGUGGCUUCUGGUGACUGUGCUGGGACUGGAAAUGGUCGUGGGAGUUGUGGGAAACAGUCUUGUUCUGCUUGUCAAAGUCAUGUGUAGAGGCCAAUUCUGCUGUCGUUACUGGUUUCCUUUCAUCAGUCUCACCCUAUCAGAUCUAGGCUGCUCCGUCCUUAUCAUCUCUGGCUCCAUGCUGGCCAUUCUGACAGGAGGUCAGAGGUCACCAUGGUGUGAAGUAGUCAGCCUGCUGAAGUUUGCCUUCAUCACCUCCUCUAUAGGAAGCAUAGGUAAUGCACAGCUCUAUAAACACACUAAUACACUCUGUCUUAUUCUCCAUUCAUUGGAAACCAAGACUGGGUUACGGAGGUUGAGCAGGGAACUGAACUGCCUACUGAUUGAGAGGAAGUGGAGAGAGGAGAGCCGGGUGGAGGUGGAGUGAUGGCAGGAGUGGAGACAGAUGCAAGACAGGUGCUGCAGCCAGAGGAAUGAGUAGAGAUCCGGGUUUGAUCCAGGCAGACGACAGGAGAGUGUAGUUUCUCUUAUCACUCCCACCUGCUACUAAUCACCGAUUUACAGCAUCUGUCUGCAAUGCCACACACCAUGCUCCCGCCCACCUGGAGAUACAGAGAGAGAGAGAUUCAUCGCAGUAAUAUCUGCUGACUGCUUGUAGUCUGACAUGCACACAGAAAAACAUCACAAAAUCAUUAAAUUUAAUUCAAUUUUAUUUAUAUUGGGCCAAUUCACAGCAUAUGUCAUCUCGCAGCACUGAACAUAGUAAAAGACAGAUUUUAUGAAUUUUACACAAGAGAACUCAACAAUCCAAAGUUGCCAUUGGAUUACCCUAUCAGCAAGCAGAUGGCAAUGAUGGAAAGGAACUAAAAAAAACCCUCUCUAAAUAGGGAGGGAGGGAAAGAAAAACCUCCAACAGAACCAUAUUCAGCAAAGGCAGCUAUCUGCUUCAACUAGCUGCAAAUCCCUUAUUUUUCCUCUGUUUAUGGCCACACUAAUGUGUCGAUACUAUCUCUGCUGGUCCAAUACUAUAUCUCUUUACACAGGUAUGGGAGCAGGGUCUCUGAUAGGAUUCAAAGCUUAAUGUCUUGUGGUUUCAUUUGUCUGAUGAUAAAUAAUGACCAAGCUCCUCAGUUACAAGUCUCCUUGUUUGUUGUGUUUCCCACCAUAAGGGGUUUUUCUCUUUCAGGGGAGGACCCAACAGGUAGGAUAAUUGUCCAUAUUAUCCUACCUGUUAAGUCCUCCCCUGACCCCCAAAUAGUGAUGUAUCCCCUCACUGCACCCUGUGUCGAAAGGUUUCAUCCACAACCUUACCUGUGAGUUAAAGGUGAAACAAUACAGUAGUUUCUUGUCUUUGACCUCAGUCUUGUUUAUAACUGCAGUGGAAUUGUAAAAUUUCAUGCAUCCAUUCAGUAUCUAUAUACCACUUGAUCCUGUGUAAGGUCAUGAGGGGAGUCUAUCUCUGCUGACUUAGAGGGAAGGCUGGGUACACCCUGAACAGGUCGCCCAUCCAUCACAGGGCCAGCACAGACAGACAACCAAGCACACUCAUAUUCACACCUACAGACUCUAGACUGUGGGAGGAAGCUGGAGCACCAGGGGACAACCCACAGAGGGAGAACAUACAAACUCCACACAGAAAGAUCCAGGGCUGGGAUGCGAACCAGGAAUCUUCUGGCUGUCCUCUGUGUGCAGCGGCUGAUUGGCAUGGCCUUCAGAGGAAGUGCUCUCUUCGUUGUCAUGGUGACAGCGUGCUUGGUUUCUUGGGUGACAGGAGCUGUGUUCGGGAGCAUCCCUGUUGUUUACGCCUGGAUCAGGUAUGACCCUGCAGAGAUGCUGUGUGCUGUCUUCUGGGAGGGCAGCUACUCAGAUAUGUCGGUCUACAUUCUUUGUGCUUUCUCCAUCUGCAUCUUUCUCCCCUUCCUUCUCGUUUUUGGCUGCUUGGUACUCAGCGCUACUGGCUGUGGGUCCAGUGGCAACAGUGAUGAGGAGGCGGAUCUUUCUGAAGUGGCUCCUCUUUUGGUGGCCUCCUACACAAUCUGCUACACUCCCUUUGUUGUGUCUGAGCUGAUCCUGCUGGGUAGGAUGGACCUGUCUCCAGCACCUGAUUGGUUAAGGACAUUAUCCUCCGUUAUGUCAUACCUGGACUGUGGUUUAAACCCUCUUAUCUACUGCACCCAUCAGAGCUUCAGGGAGGCAGGUCUGGCACUGUUAUGGACUAAAAGGAAACCAAUGUCAGAGCCUGUUCUCACUGCUGUCAUUAAGCAUUAAAUGUAAACAUGUGAGGGUUGAUAUAUAAAAUUCAAAAGGUGAGCCCAAAAAUACGCAGAUUUUUAAAAUAUAACUGCCAAGCAAAUUUGAAGCAUGCUUGUUGUACCCUGUUAUAAAUAAUUAAAGAAAGAAAAUGUGAAUUAGACUUGUUUGCAUUGUCUAUUUUGAAGUGAACUAACUAGUCAACAUCAUGUCAUCAGGGAGUGACGCUAUAGGCUUCAUUACACAUUACUGUAAUAAACAGAGCAUUAAAAAACAGAAACAAAAACAGUUGUGUGCCAAUUGUUUAAAAGCCAUAAAGAAGAAGAAGAAACUAAUACAAUUGUGUCCAUCUGUGUGAGAAAAUGGAGAGGGGUCUUCAGGAAUUGUUUUCAGUCAGGUAAAUGGAAAUUAUUCUUUCAUGUUUGCAUGUUUACUGCUGUCUGGAUGUGAAGGCUCUUAAACAGCAUAUCUCUGCCUUAAAAGGAGGCCACUUUUGUCAUACAGUGUGUGCUCUGAAUGACCUGAAACAGCUGUUGCCUUCAUAUUUAUCAUAUCUGGACACACUGUGACAUUUGAGACAACAUACGAUAUUAAGACUUUUUUGCAUUUUUGACAUUUUUGACGACAUACAAAAAUUUAUUUAUUUAUUUAUUUAUUUAUUUGGACGAGACAGUGCAUGUAAAUUAACAUGCAAUCUCAUAAUAGUUUACACAAGGUUGCAGUAAAUAUGCCGGAUUUAGCACAAGGCUAAUGUCCAUCCGUUCUCCCACACAUAAAAGAAAAAAAAAUACAGCGUUGCAGAUGUAUAAAAAACAACAUAGUAAAACAAAGACAAUGACAAUUAAUACUGACUGGGUUAAACCUACCCUAAAAAAGUGCUACUAUUUUAGAAAAGUGCUUUCUAGGCAUAGCCUUUCAUAUGAAAAAUGAAAAAAGAUUAUGAUGUUUCUUUUAUGACAUUUUUCACCACACACUACACUGCACGCCUGUGUUCCUAGAAGGCAAUUUGAAUCGGUAAAUUCAGUAAUUAGUCAAUUAAUUGAUUUACAAUAUUUGUAUAACACACCGACAUAUGCAUAUAGCAAAUUACAUCAAUGUAAAAGUCUAAUUGUGUAAACAGCAAGUUUUGCUUGUCUUGUUGACAUAUUUUAGGUUAAUGUUGACACGGUUUAAGAGCUGCUGAUUAUUGCUUGUAUGGCAAUCAAGAGAAAAUACAUCCUAAUGUUUACUGAUAUAUUCAGAGGGAGGGGAAGGGAAGAAAUGUUUAAGAAUUCAGAUUAAAUUAAUUUUCUAUACAAGAUGUGUUUCAAUAAUCCCACAGUAAAUUAAGGCCUAAGUAAUCUAAGUAAUUUGAAGACUAAUGUAAUCUUAAGGACUUUUAGCAGGGAAGAAGAAGACUGAGAAGAAUGAAUCAGUGGACCAGCAGCAGCAUUAUGAUACAUGUGAUGUCUCAGGAAAAUAAGUGGACUUAAAUUUAUUUUGACAUUUACAAUUCAUGCACCUGAACAUCAAAUGGACGUAAGGCCUCCCACAUGGAGCGAGGUGGGGAAGACUGUGAAGCAGGCAAGAUCAGCAUCAGCACCUGGGCCCAAUGGAAUCUCGUAUAGACUCUAUAAGAACACUCCCGGAGCCCGUAAAUACCUCUGGAAGGUGAUGAAGGUGGCUUGGCAGAGGGGAAUGAUACUGAAAGCAUGGAGAAGAUCAGGGGGUAUUCUGAUCCCCAAAGAGAAGGGCUCGUCAUCCAUCAGCCAGUUUCACCAGAUCAGCCUGUUGAAUGUAGAGGGAAAGAUCUUCUUCAGUGUCCUGGCCCAAAGGCUCUCUAGCGUCUUGCACAGAAACAACUUUGUUGAUACAUCAGGGCAGAAGAUGGGGAUCCGGGAUUUCUCAGGAUGUCUGGAGCAUGCCAAUGUCAUCUGGCACCAGAUACAAACUGCCAAAAAGAACGGAGAGACCUACAUGUGGUUUUCUUUGAACUUGCCAACGCCUUUGGUUCAGUCCCUCACAAGAUCUUAGGGACGGCCUUCAUGUAUUUUGGUGUACCAAAGCAAGUCACUGAUUUGGUCAAGAGCUACUUUCAGGAUCUCCAGUUCUGUGUAACAUCUGAGAGUGACACCACUGCCCGGCAGCAUCUGGAGAUUGGCAUUAUGGCAGGCUGCACAAUUUCCCCUCUGGCAUUCAUCAGUGACUAUGGAGUUGGUCAUACGUGCAUCUCGCUGGGUAAACACAGCAGGAACACAUUGGAUGGAACACAAUAGAAAGUGUGAUGCUUUUGUCCUAUUUCCUAAUCUUAUGGAAAUGUUUGUUUUCAUGGUUGAGGCCAAAGAACAUUUUACUGCCUUAGAUGGACAAUAAAGUUUAUUCUUAUUUAUUCUAUUGUAUCAUUAGUUAACAUGAGCUCCAUACAGUUUUCUGACAUUACACAGUUGUAGAGAAAACACUGCUGUUCUAUUUAACAUUAAAAGCAGCAGAAAAGUACC
ensembl:lncRNA